AUUGAACGCUGGCGGCAGGCCUAACACAUGCAAGUCGAACGGUAACAGGAAGAUGCUUGCUUCUUUGCUGACGAGUGGCGGGCGUGUUAGUAAUGUCUGGGAAACUGCCUGAGGGAGGGGGAUAACUACUGGAAACGGUAGCUAAUAACGCAUAACGUCGCAAGACCAAAGAGGGUGACCUUCGGGCCUCUUGCCAUCGCAUGUGCCCAGAUGGGAUUAGCUAGUGGGUGGGGUAACGGCACACCUAGGCGACGAUCCCUAGCUGGUCUGAGAGGAUGACCAGCCACACUGGAACUGAGACACGGUCCAGACUCCUACGGGAGGCAGCAGUGGGGAAUAUUGGACAAUGGGCGAAAGCCUGAUGCAGCCAUGCCGCGUGUAUGAAGAAGGCCUUCGGGUUGUAAAGUACUUUCAGCGGGGAGGAAGGGCAUAAAGUUAAUACCUUGGCUCAUUGACGUUACCAGCAGAAGAAGCACCGGCUAACUCCGUG
rnacentral:rRNA from 1 species